rnacentral:snRNA from 1 species
CAACUCUGGUUUCUCUUCAAUCACGCACAAGUUUUUUCGCCUUUUACUAAAGACUUCCGGGAGAGCACGCUUACGAGUUCAACGUAUUUUUGGACGGCUUUGCUCCCGCAGAGCCC